AUUCCAUCCUAAUUAGGAAUGUACCUGUUGGUCAACUGGGAGAGCUGCUACCUCAUUCCCCUGGACCCCAAUAUUAGGAUUUAACCUAUAUACUUCAAUAGACAUAGUUUGGGGGUAAUUACCUGUGUGUCAGCAAUAUGUUAAUUUGGCCAUGGGCGGAGCCAUUAUGUAAUCUUUUAGACCAUAUGCUUAUUGUGCUUAUCUUGUCUCACUGCUAGAACCUAUCCAGGGGCUUGGAAAAACCCAUUCCCGUCACUUCUCUCUGCCCAAUGAGCACCCUAUAUAAUCUAUUGUAAUCAAUUGUUCUGCAGUGUCUCUAAGCCUAAUAAGCAAAGUGACUCUCCGCCAGCGCUGUGCGUAACAAACUUCUGUGUUUGACCCUACAUGGUGUGGAUUACUGUUUCUUCAGGCUGAAAGGGCAGACACCGAGCAAUGUGUCUGCACACAGAGUUCAGGA